rnacentral:rRNA from 1 species
CAGCCGCCGCGGGAAUACGGAGGGUGCAAGCGUUAAUCGGAAUUACUGGGCGUAAAGCGCGCGUAGGUGGUUUGUUAAGUUGGAUGUGAAAUCCCCGGGCUCAACCUGGGAACUGCAUCCAAAACUGGCAAGCUAGAGUAUUGUAGAGGGUGGUGGAAUUUCCUGUGUAGCGGUGAAAUGCGUAGAUAUAUGAAGGAACACCAGUGGCGAAGGCGACCACCUGGACUGAUACUGACACUGAGGUGCGAAAGCGUGGGGAGCAAACAGGAUUAGAUACCCCGGUAGUCCCUGUCUCUUAUAC